UGGGCCAAAAUACCUGGGCUCCUGUAACCAAGGCCAGAAGAGCAACAGGGUCCUGGGGGAUGAAGGGGCCUCCCUACCACCCCCGUGGAGUGGAUUUUUGAUAGGAGAACAUGGAGCCGACCCGUGAAAACAAUGAAGAGCCACGUUCUCGGUUGCAGGCCGGGUUCUCAGGGAAGCAGUCUCUGAGAGGUCUAUUUGUGUGCAGGAGGUUCAUUCGGGAGUGCCUUGGGGGAUGACACCCAGGAGGGCAUCAGGGAUCGAAGGAAGCAGCAACGCAUGUUGGGAGAAAUAUAACUGCCACACAGUUGCAAAAAGAUGCCUCAAGGGAUGCCAGGAUUGGGGAGCAGGUGGUGGAGAGAGCUCGGGAGCUACAACGUCCGUUGCAUCCUUCUUUUCCUACCCCACCCCAGCCAGGGGAGCAGAGAAAGGCGUGGAAUUAGGUUUGGCCAAUCCCAUGCCGUCAUCCAGGAUUGGAUCCUUCAGCAGCAGGAAGCCGUGGUUAUGGGUAGUUGGAGGCCAUACUGACUGUUGAGGAAUAGGGACAGGCAGAGGGCCCACUCCAGCAGCGGACAUCUGCUAAAGAUUCCACUGCCCAGUUCCCUACCACCGGUACCCUGGGUUGUGGCUCAUUUUGGAAACCUUUCCUCCAAAUAUCCCGGAUCUCCUAGAAUCCUUACAAUAAGCCCCCUUUCGGGACUAAGUCAGCCAGAGUCAAUAUUUGGUCUUUGCAGCCCCAAAGCCGCUAAUCUCAGGGCACCUCUAAGAUGGUUCAUUGAAAGAAGAAUGUCAGGGUGUGACUGUGUUUUUAAACACACCGUGGAGCCCAGUAGAUGAGAUAUAAGCAGGAAGCAGUUUUAUUCUUUCUCGCAACUGCCCUUUUCCAACCAGCUCUGGGGACUUGUGUCUCCCCAUCCUUUAGGCAGAUCUCAUGGUUUUUGGUCACUUUCUGGUGGAGGAAGCAGGUCACUGGGUAAAGCAGAGGAAAAUGGGGCUCCCCAAACGGACCUAACGGAGCAUCUCCAGACAUUGCCCACUCCUUCCCUUGGCUCCUCAUUGUACCGGUAGAGGAACUGAGGCCCAGAGAGGGAAAGUGACUUACUGGGUGUAACUCAGCACAGAGGUGGAGGACAAGAGGGAACUGCAUUGGUCUCUCGCGGACAGGGCAUGGUACUGUGCAAAGCUCGCCCUGCUGUUGCAUGGCUCCAGGUGGAUCCCACUCUUCAUGGCCAUCUGAAUUUGUGGGACUGGUUCAUUGGUGAUGUUUAUCCUCCAGAUAUUGUUGUUCUGGAGCAGCCGAAGGACCACAUGACCCAGAAGAAGGCCAAGACCAGGGUUUUAAUCUUAGGGCAAGGACAUCAACUCGUUCUCCUCCACAAAAUGGAAGUAACACAGAAUGAGGUUCAUCAUCAGUUCAAAGACGAAGCACCUGACACACAGAAGGGAGGCCACGAGCAGGCAGCGGAGGCAGAUCACACAGGGAAGGCUGGUUGCCAGAAUGGACCCCAGCUGGGCAUCAGACGCCAUCCAUUACCAGAGUCACAUCACCCCCAGGCCCGCUUGGCCAGACCCUCAGCCUUGGCAGUCGCUCGUCCGCUCUCCGUUUCUAGAAUCUUGUCACUUCAAGAUGUCGUAUGGAUGAAAUCAUACAGUAUGAAACCUUUGGGGACUGGCUUUUUUCCACUUAGUGAAAUUCCCUGGAGAUUCACCUGAGAUGUUGCAUGUAUCAAUAGCUUGCUCCUUUACUACCCAGUGGUAUUGCAUGCCAUGGGUGGGUCACAGUCUGUCUAACCGUCAUCCC